AUUUCUGAGAAUAACAGCUCGCUUAUCAUCUCCGCCUAGAUGAAACGACGUGUUUUCGUUUAGGGUUAAACCUGUGUUCUUCUUCGCCUCUCCAGAGCUCAAACGACAAUGGUGAUUCUGAAAGUCCGAAGAGACGAAUCGUCGUCCAGAGACUCCGAAUUACGCUUCGUUACAGUCGUUUCGAGUUCAUUCCUAUCCUUCCAGACGUUUUGACGCCACAUUCAUCGCCUUUAAGAUACAUCUUAACUCCAUCGAGGCUCAUCAAGGACGAUGCCACAUUCAAUGUUACUUUUAUCUGUUCAAGGAGGCUGGCCAGUGUUCUUCCAUGGUGGAGUCUGAUUGCUGAGAUUCGGGGAGGGUGGGUCGAAAUGUCAAGCGUGGUGGGGAGUUGAUGGGGUUGACAUGCUCCUCCUUGAUGCUGAGGCAACACUUAUUCAAGUGUUCAUUGUCUUCCCACUAGCAAGCGACUGGGUUCUAUGUUUUACUUUGAUUUCACUUGGUGUUAUCAGAACUAUAGGCUCUCCGAGCUGGUCUCGAGAAACACUGGGAACAACCCAGAUCCUUCAUUGCUGGAGGAUAUGCCAAGGUUGAACCACUGAGCAUAUCUGAGCUGAAUGAGUUCGUCAUCACAGCCGAGCCUUAGGAGAUUGAAUUUGUCUGCACUGGAAUGGUGAGUGAAAUCAAGAUGGACAAAGGCUGGUGUUACGUUUCCUGCUCCAGGUGCACAAGAAUCUCCAAAGAACUGUCUCAUUUUUGACUUGCGUGUCCUGCAACAACACAUGCGUUUUUGGAGUGCUCUGGUAUAUUGGAUCAUUUGUUUUUCCCCGUUUUGAAAAUUCUCACAUACAGUCAAAAUGGUUUUCAUACAAUUUAUUACAAGGUACCGGGUGGAGAUGAGCAUUGCUGACGACACAGAUGAGGGUCUAUUUGUGGCUUUCGAUGGAGUACGUAGCAUUAUCUAACGCUGGCAUUGAAGGUUACAAAUGUGUGGAAACCUCAUCUGCAUGAACAUCCUCCAUUGGUCCUGCCACCAAGAAGCCUCGCCUUUCAACAAUUUUGAAUGUGGUCAAGAAGGUAUGAAAGGCUUAAGGGAACAUGACGGAGUUUCUAGAGUCAGUUUUCUUCUUUCAAUAAUGCUUAGCCAUCAAUGUUAUUUUUUUAACUUUGAAUUCUCGAGUCAUAUUUCCUCUUUGAAUAGUGCUUAGGCAUCAAUGUUUUUCUUCUUCUAAUUUUCUCCUCAUCUGGAGUUUGCUAUGUUUUUUCUUAGCUACCGUGAAAAUGGUCUUGAGUUUCAGGCAUACUCUGAGUUUAAAACCGAAGAAUACAAAUAUACAAUACUCUG